rnacentral:rRNA from 1 species
AGAGUUUGAUCCUGGCUCAGAGCGAACGUUAGCGGCGGGCCUAACACAUGCAAGUCGAGCGAGAAAGGGGCUUCGGCCCUGAGUAAAGCGGCGGACGGGUGAGUAACACGUAGGUAAUCUUCCCUUGAGCGGGGGACAACGAGCCGAAAGGCUCGCUAAUACCGCAUACGUUUUCAGCGGCUCUGGUCGCUGGAAGGAAAGCUAGGCAGCAAUGUCCGGCACUCGAGGAGGAGCCUGCGUCGCAUCAGCUAGUUGGUGGGGUAACGGCCUACCAAGGCGAAGACGCGUAGCUGGUCUGAGAGGAUGAUCAGCCACACUGGGACUGAGACACGGCCCAGACUCCUACGGGAGGCAGC